rnacentral:tRNA from 1 species
UGCAUCUGGCUGGAUUCGAACCAGCGACGUUCUUUGCAGAAUGGCGGAUUAUAUGAGUCCGCUGCCUUCGGCCCCUCGGCCACAGAUGC